GGCUCGGUAGCUUAGUUGGGAAAGCACUUGUCUAGCGUAUAAGGGCUAUGAGUUAAAAUCUCAUCUGAGCUG
rnacentral:tRNA from 1 species